rnacentral:rRNA from 1 species
AUUGAACGCUGGCGGCAUGCCUUACACAUGCAAGUCGAACGGCAGCACGGGUGCUUGCACCUGGUGGCGAGUGGCGAACGGGUGAGUAAUAUAUCGGAACGUACCUUAUUAUGGGGGAUAACGCAGCGAAAGCUGUGCUAAUACCGCAUAAUCCCUAAGGGGGCAAGCGGGGGACCGUAAGGCCUCGCGCAAUUAGAGCGGCCGAUACCUGAUUAGCUAGUUGGUGAGGUAAAGGCUCACCAAGGCAACGAUCAGUAGCUGGUCUGAGAGGACGAUCAGCCACACUGGGACUGAGACACGGCCCAGACUCCUACGGGAGGCAGCAGUGGGGAAUUUUGGACAAUGGGGGCAACCCUGAUCCAGCAAUGCCGCGUGAGUGAAGAAGGCCUUCGGGUUGUAAAGCUCUUUUGUCAGGGAAGAAACAGCAGCCCUAACACAGUUUGCGAAUGACGGUACCUGAAGAAUAAGCACCGGCUAACUACGUGCCAGCCGCCGCGGUAA